AAACCGUUCAGGGGUAAACCUAAGAAACCCAAAAGAUCGAACGGGGAGAUUCAUCGUCAGCGACGCUGGCUUCGCGUCGGUGGGCGAUGUCCCGCUGUGAGCCGCUCGCGGUUCUCGAGCGCGGGCACGCUACCGUGCGUCGAUGUCCGGCGAUCGUCGUCGUGCACUUCUCCCCUGGUAGAACGUCGCGACCCGCCGGGUGUCUGUCUACGGCCCGAGUGCGGAGACUGUCGCGUCGCCGGUAAAACGGCACGCGGCAGACCCUCGGUCGCCCGACCGGCUGCCCGACGGUACACGCAUGGUAUCAGGCCGCACGUUCGCGUGCGUCGAGACCGUCGCAAGCGCGCGCCCACGGUACACGGUGGUACGGACCAAGCGCCGUCCCCUGUCCUGGCCCGCUGUUGGUGACGCGCACACACCUUCGACAGGCCUUCGAACGGGGCUCUCUNCCGUUCACGCGGGGGUGAGCAGCUCGGAUACCGGUCGGCGACGCUACAGCUUUGGGUACUCUCAGGA
rnacentral:rRNA from 1 species